rnacentral:rRNA from 1 species
UACGGGGGGGGCAAGCGUUGUUCGGAAUUACUGGGCGUAAAGGGCUCGUAGGCGGCCGACUAAGUCAGACGUGAAAUCCCUCGGCUUAACCGGGGAACUGCAUCUGAUACUGGAUGGCUUGAAUCCGGGAGAGGGAUGCGGAAUUCCAGGUGUAGCGGUGAAAUGCGUAGAUAUCUGGAGGAACACCGGUGGCGAAGGCGGCAUCCUGGACCGGCAUUGACGCUGAGGAGCGAAAGCCAGGGGAGCAAACGGG